GCCUUCCUGUCGCUUUGGCUGUUGCCAUGGCAAUGACCUGUUGCCGCGCUGCAGUGGCGGUUUUUCGUUCCCACCUCUCGCUGUGCCAAAAAGGUUCGCCAAAAAUGCUGAGUCAUCGCCUGGCAACGCGCCACAGCAACGGACAAGGGCAGCUUUCCAGAUCUUUGGAAAUGGCCCAAACCCUUGAGAAGAUCUGCCCACUGUGACAUGUUUUACAGAUUACUCUGGCUGCGGAUAAAUUUCCAGCUCAACACUUUCGCAAAAACCACCACUAACUGGCCUAAAUAUUAUCAUGUGAUCUCCUCCAGGUGCGACAGUGUGCUACCCAGCAUCACCGCUUGACCUCGGAGCUCAAACAGAAGUCCAGAUAAGGAUGUGGCUGCUUGAAUACCCCUACAACAACCCCUCACCACCCCCAGAGAACGCAGGGCAUGAUGUUAGCGGUGAAGAGGAGUCUCUUUGUUGCCGUCUCAAAGAUAGCAGCGGCUCUCACUCCCUCCUCGAGACUGCUAUCAAAUUAUUGCACUGGCCCCUUGAGCGUCACCCCACAGACCCCCACACAUUUUUGUGGAUAUAUAAAGGUUUUUGUAGCUUUCUGGAACUUCAAACUCUAAACUCUGAAGGCUUUUUCAAUGUUGCUCUUUUCUUCUUUGUGGGUUUUUAAGUCACUACAUAUAUAUAGCCUAGUUUUUGCCAACUGUUUUAUGAAUACUGUAAACUCACAUACUACUAGUGAUGUUCAAUUCUUGAAUAAAUCAUUCUUUUAAGUGGGUAUCUAGUCGAGCUGAUUCACUGAAUUGAACUCAAUCCAAUUUUAGUUUUGGGUUGAUGAUGCAAGAUACACAUCUGAAGAAUGAAACUCCUUGUGCAGCACCGAAUAAGUCAAUAAGGAACCAUUCAUGAAGAACCCGUUUUUCCAUUCCACUUCACUACUUUUCCACUGUAUGUAAAUACGCACUAUAUGGACGUCUUU